rnacentral:rRNA from 1 species
GGCGGACGGGUGAGUAAUACAUCGGAACGUGCCAAUUAGUGGUGGAUAACGCAUCGAAAGAUGUGCUAAUACAGCAUAAACUCUGAGGAGGAAAGGUGGGGACCCUGUGAUGGGGCCUAUCGCUAUAUGAGCGGCCGAUGGUCGAUUAGCUAGUUGGUGAGGUAAGAGCUUACCAAGGCGAUGAUCGAUAGCUGUUCUGAGAGGAAGAUCAGCCACACUGGGACUGAGACACGGCCCAGACUCC